UUCGAGCUUUAGUUUUCCGCCAAAUAAAACGCGCUGCGGAGCAGCCGAGACCGAGAGUGACGGCGAUUGAAAUCCAACACCUGAAAAAAAAAACUACUUUUGUUUAUUUGUGCUUCCCCCCUGCUUUUUGAUUCUCUAUAUGGAGCUAAGAACGGUUCGAGUGGGGAACAUCUCAGAUCUGGCCGGGGAGAGGGAGAUUCGAGAGUUCUUCUCCUUCUCCGGCGACAUCGAGUAUGUUGAGAUCCAAAGUGGUGAUGUGGGAAAUGGGAGGACUGCUUAUGUUACAUUUAGAGAUCCGAAAGCACUUGAGAUCGCAUUGCUGCUGUCGGGAGCUACAAUUGUUGACCGGAUAGUGACCAUAACUCCUGCCGAGAAUUACAUUUAUAUCCCUAUCGUUGAGGGGCGUUCUAUGGUAAAUGAGGUGACGAGCUCAACUUCUACCGGAAAUUUUGUACCGACUGUUGAGGUUGAGACGAGUCCCAGCGGUGGCCGGAUUUAUGUCAGUAAAGCCCAUGAUGUCGUGACAAGCAUGCUAGCAAGGGGUUCAGCAAUUGGACAAGACGCUGUGAAUAGAGCCAAAGCAUUUGACGAGAAGCAUCGAUGGACGGCUAGUGCAUCAGCAAAGGUUACAUCUUUCGAUAGGAGGGUUGGCCUUUCAGAGAAAAUCUCUGUUGGAAUAUCAGUCGUUAAUGAGAAAGUGAAAUCUGUGGAUCAAAGGUUACAUGUUUCUGACAAAACGAUCGUUGCCAUAACAGUAGCAGAGCGCAAGCUAAAUGACACAGGCACUGCUGUGAAAACUAACAGGUAUGUAACUGCUGGAACUACUUGGCUUAAUGGAACUUUUCGCAAAGUGGCAAAGGCUAGCCAUGCUGCAAGCACAAAAACAAGAGAGAAGUUUCAAUUGGCAGUGUCCAAUCUAACAGCAAAGGAUCCAGCUGUUGCUGCAUAAGAUAGUAUUAUCGUGUGGGAGGAAGCUUUAUUUGUACCUUUGGACGAAUUCAAUCAAGCAUUUGUUUGCACAUGUGUGCCAUUGAUUAUCUCAAGCUUUUAGCUUUUGGUCGGUGUUAUCUUUUUCCUACUUGCUUUCCACCUUCUUUACAAGCCAUUACCGGCCUCAUCCUGUCUUGUUGAAGUCUUGCGGAUGGCCUUUUCAUCUGGACCUCAGCUCACCACGGAUAAAACACGUUAAAGGACAACCCUCAUUCUCCCCACCAUUUGAGGCCUCCACAGUGUUGUUCCGUCAGGUUCUUGAUAUUUCAUGUUAUUUUAGCUGUUCUUUUCUUCAAUUAAAGCCUGCAAAAGCUUUUCAUUCCACUCACUCCCAUAAAGAACAUGCCAUAGAAGAAGACAACAUCUCUUGCAAAGCCCACCUAAUUUUCUAUUAUUUUGCACAAAAAGUGUCCUGUCCAUCAUGUGCAGUCUUAGAUUAUAUACCCAUCAUGGCAUGCAUAAGGAGUAGGAUCUCAGGGCUUCUUCCUAAAAUCUAGAGAUAUUUGAUUGGGGAAUCAUGAGAGUGAGUGAUGGAUGUUAGAAAGGCAGAGGGAUAUUGGAAGAAGGAGAGUAGGUGUUGGGAAUGGAGGCUGGUCCAAGAUCCUCUCGUGACUGUUUUUUUUUUUUUGGUUCCUUAAUCUUUGAUCCAUUCCUAGGCUUUACUCAUGUGAGUUCAUAAGAUGUCAGUGAAGAGAUCUCGGACCAGGCUUCAUUCCUCGUACCUCACUUUUCAGUAUUUACUUAUGCUGCUAGAUUUAUGGAGCAAGAGUCACACACUUUGGAGGUAAUUACUUUUUAGACACCUUCAUUUCUAAUUACUGAUACAAGUUUUUUGGGGGCAAUUAACUUUUUUGUUGGUUUUCGACACAUAUUUGGCAUGAAGAAUGUAAGAAUCUGUUUAUACCGAAGAUCUUUAGUUGUUUCAAUUACCAUUUCAGAUGUGCUUAUGUUAUAUGUCAGGUUGUUAUCAAUUUUACUGGCGACUGUUUAGUUUUUGAUUGGUCU